UACGGAGGGGGCUAGCGUUGUUCGGAAUUACUGGGCGUAAAGCGCACGUAGGCGGCUUGGUAAGUUAGAGGUGAAAGCCUGGAGCUCAACUCCAGAAUUGCCUUUAAGACUGCCGAGCUAGCAGGUGAGAGAGGUGAGUGGAAUUCCGAGUGUAGAGGUGAAAUUCGUAGAUAUUCGGAAGGAACACCUGUGGCGAAAGCGGCUCACUGGACCACAACUGACGCUGAGGCACGAAAGCUAGGGGAGCAAACAGG
rnacentral:rRNA from 1 species